rnacentral:rRNA from 1 species
AACGUAGGAGGCGAGCGUUAUCCGGAUUUACUGGGCGUAAAGCGCACGCAGGCGGCUUCGCAAGUCGGAUGUGAAAGCUCCUGGCUUAACUGGGAGAGGCCAUUCGAUACUGCGGGGCUUGAGAUUGGGAGAGGGGUAUGGAAUUCCCGGUGUAGUGGUGGAAUGCGUAGAUAUCGGGAGGAACACCAGUGGCGAAAGCGGUACCCUGGCCCACACCUGACGCUAAUGUGCGAAAGCGUGGGUAG